UGACCUCGGAUCAGGUAGGGAUACCCGCUGAACUUAAGCAUAUCAAUAAGCGGAGGAAAUCG
rnacentral:rRNA from 1 species